AAACAGUUUUCACUUGUUUAGCUGUCCUCUUCUGGAAUUGGGCCCCGAGGACCGGAGAAAAGCCAGGAUGACAGGGCGGAAACGGAACGAACCACAGACCAAGCCCAGAGAGAACGCUGUCUUCUUCUGAAAUUGGGCCCGAGGACCGGAGAAAAGCCAGGACGACAGGGCGGAAACGGAACGAACCACAGACCAAGCCCAGGCAGAACGGUACACUCGAUUUAGUUUCCACGCCGGCGCGCCGGGUGGGCGGGUUUUUAACACAGUGUGGUGUUGGCCUUUCUCUGUCUGUACAUUGAUUUAGAAAAUGUUCUUUGCAUUUUUCUGGCAAUUUCCUAUAAGAGCUUUAGAGCAUCGAAAUACACAUAUCCAAUCUACAGACAACGUUGGAGUUAAACUCAAGUUUGUUGCUACCAUUUCUUUAUAUCUAAAGUGCCAACAACAUUCAUAAAGCUAAACAGAGUAGGCCUGGGCCGAAAAUAGUUGUAUUUUGUAGUUCAGUAGAAAAUAAAAACGUUUAAGAUACUCUAGGUAGUCUAAUAUAGUUUAUAUAGAGUUUCAACUAAAAGCCAACUAUAUUGAACAACAUUAUAAAUGUAAAAUGUAACAUGUAAAAAGUGUUGGUCCCAUGUUUCAUGAGCUGAAAUAAAAGAUCCUAGAAAUG